rnacentral:lncRNA from 1 species
UGGUCGGAUUCGGGCACGCCGACAGACCGCCGAAUGGACAGAGUCUCCCCUGUACGUCCUAGGCGUCGCAAUCAAUACAAUUCACGAUGUUUCAACCAGGAACAGAAAUAAAGUAUAGAUUGCAUAAGGAAGUAUCAAAACCAUAAAACAGCUAAGCUAUUAAAAACAUUCAUCCCAAGUUAUACAUUUACAAUUUUCGAUUACAUUUCCUUCCAAAUACAAUCAUUGAUCACAAGAUUAUUACAAUCUUGUUUUACAUCUUUUCUACAAUCCCUAGCUAAGCCGACUCGGGGUAAUGCUAUUUCUGGUCUCGGUGGUAGGGCGCUUUCUACGGAGCUACGCUCUUUCCUGACGCCGCCGUGCCGCUCACGUAUGAACCUGUACCCCCAAAAACAACACGGGGGUGAGAAUUAUUGUCCAUAGUUCCCAGUGGGUACGGUCACCCAAGGGAAAAGCUCGACCCACCAGGUCCAAGG